GAAAUGCGAUAAGUAAUGUGAAUUGCAGAAUUCAGUGAAUCAUCGAAUCUUUGAACGCACCUUGCGCUCCUUGGUAUUCCGAGGAGCAUGCCUGUUUGAGUGUCAUUAAAUUCUCAACCUCACCCGUCUUUGUUGCGCGUGUGUGUAGGCUUGGAUGUGGAGGCUUGCAGGUCCGACUCUCUUUUGAGCUGUUGGUCUGCUCCUCUGAAAUGCAUUAGUGGGUUGUGCCCCUCAUCUAUUGGUGUGAUAAUUAUCUACGCCGUGGAUGAGUGUUUGGCAACGACGCGACCUGCUGUCUAACCGUCCGACUCGGACAAUCUUGACAUUUUUGACCUCAAAUCAGGUAAGACUACCCGCUGAACUUAA
rnacentral:misc_RNA from 1 species